rnacentral:rRNA from 1 species
AGAGAUGGAUUGGUGCCUUCGGGAACUCUGACACAGGUGCUGCAUGGCUGUCGUCAGCUCGCGUCGUGAGAUGUUGGGUUAAGUCCCGUAACGAGCGCAACCCUUGUCCUUAGUUACCAGCACGUUAUGGUGGGCACUCUAAGGAGGACUGCCGGUGACAAACCGGAGGAAGGUGGGGAUGACGUCAAGUCAUCAUGGCCCUUACGGCCUGGGCUACACACGUGCUACAAUGGUCGGUACAAAGGGUUGCCAAGCCGCGAGGUGGAGCUAAUACCCAUAAAACCGAUCGUAGUCCGGAUCGCAGUCUGCAACUCGACUGCGUGAAGUCGGAAUCGCUAGUAAUCGUGAAUCAGAAUGUCACGGUGAAUACGUUCCCGGGCCUU